rnacentral:rRNA from 1 species
CCUACGGGUGGCAGCAGUGAGGAAUAUUGGUCAAUGGCCGCAAGGCUGAACCAGCCAUGCCGCGUGCAGGAAGAAGGAUCUAUGAUUUGUAAACUUCUUUUAUAGGGGGAUAAAUGUAUCCACGUGUGGAUAUUUGCAUGUACCCUAUGAAUAAGCAUCGGCUAACUCCGUGCCAGCAGCCGCGGUAAUACGGAGGAUUCAAGCGUUAUCCGGAUUUAUUGGGUUUAAAGGGUGCGUAGGUUGUUUUUUAAGUCAGCGGUGAAAGUUUGUGGCUCAACCACAAAAUUGCCGUUGAAACUGUAAGACUUGAGUGUGGUUGAGGUAGGCGGAAUGCGUGGUGUAGCGGUGAAAUGCAUAGAGAUCACGCAGAACUCCGAUUGCGAAGGCAGCGUACUAAGCCAUAACUGACACUGAGGCACGAAAGCGUGGGGAGCAAACAGGAUUAGAUACCCGAGUAGUC